rnacentral:rRNA from 1 species
GAUGAACGCUGGCGGCGUGCCUAAUACAUGCAAGUCGAGCGAACGGACGAGAAGCUUGCUUCUCUGAUGUUAGCGGCGGACGGGUGAGUAACACGUGGAUAACCUACCUAUAAGACUGGGAUAACUUCGGGAAACCGGAGCUAAUACCGGAUAAUAUUUUGAACCGCAUGGUUCAAAAGUGAAAGACGGUCUUGCUGUCACUUAUAGAUGGAUCCGCGCUGCAUUAGCUAGUUGGUAAGGUAACGGCUUACCAAGGCAACGAUGCAUAGCCGACCUGAGAGGGUGAUCGGCCACACUGGAACUGAGACACGGUUCAGACUCCUACGGGAGGCAGCAGUAGGGAAUCUUCCGCAAUGGGCGAAAGCCUGACGGAGCAACGCCGCGUGAGUGAUGAAGGUCUUCGGAUCGUAAAACUCUGUUAUUAGGGAAGAACAGAUGUGUAAGUAACUGUGCACAUCUUGACGGUACCUAAUCAGAAAGCCACGGCUAACUACGUG